ensembl:lncRNA
CUCUUGGGCUGUCAUCUAAACUUCUGCUGUAAGUUUCUGUCUCUCUGGAGGUUAUUUCCGUUAUUUCCAUUAUUUAUUUCCGUUAUUUCCGUUCUUUAUUUUAGUUAUUCUUGUUGUUUAUUUCCGUUAUUUCCAUUAUAUAUUUAUGUUAUUUCAGUUAUUUAUUUCCGUUAUUUCCGUUGUUCUUCUUGGCCUUUCACCUAAGAUUCUGCUGUAAGUGUCUGUCUCUCUGGAGGUUAUUUCCGUUGUUUCCGUUGUUUCCGUUCUUUCCGUUAUUUCUGUUGUUCUUCUUGGCCUGUCAUCUAAGUUUCUGCAGUAAGUUUCUGCCUCUAUGGAGGUUAUUUCCGUUCCUUCUGUUAUUUCCGUUCUUUCCGUUAUUUCCGUUCCUUCUGUUAUUUCCGUUCUUUCCGUUAUUUCCGUUAUGUCUGUUAUUUCCGUUCUUUAUGCAAUUUUUCUUGGCCUGUCAUCUAAGUUUCUGCAUUAUGUUUCUGUCUCUCUGGAGGUUAUUUCCGUUAUUUCAUUUAUUUCUGUUAUUUCCGUUGUUCUUCUUGGCCUGUCAUCUAAGUUUCUGCAGUAUGUUUCUGUCUCUCUGGUGGUUAGUUUCGUUAGUUCUGUUAGUUCCGUUAUUUAUUUCCGUUAUUUCCAGAAUUUAUUUCCGUUAGUUCCGUUAUUUAUUUCUCUUAGUUCCUUUAUUUAUUUCGGUUGGUUCCUUUAUUUCUUUCUGUUAGUUUCGUCAUUUAUUUCCAUUCCUUCCGUUAUUAAGUUCCGUUAUUUAGUUCCGUUAUUUAGUUCAUUUAUUUCCGUUGUUCUUCUUGGCCUGUCAUCUAAGUUUCUGCAGUCUGUUUCUGUCUCUCUGGAGGUUAUUUACGUUAUUUCCGUUAUUUAUUUCCAUUAUUUCCGUUAUUUAUUUCCGUUAUUUCCGUUCUUUAUUUCCGUUAUUUCCGAUAUUUCUGUUAUUAUUUCCGUUAUUCUUCUUGGCCUUUUUCUAAG